ACAGACACACAUACACAAAGCAUAUUUCACACUGUUACGCGACGGUUUCUGCCAGUUUGCUCAUCAUGGCAAGUCACGUUAAGGAACUUCG